rnacentral:tRNA from 1 species
UGGCGUAGUGGUAACGCGCCCUAACUAGAGAUCAGGGAGUCGUGAGUUAGAUUCUCAC